rnacentral:rRNA from 1 species
GACGAACGCUGGCGGCGUGCUUAACACAUGCAAGUCGAACGGAAAGGCCCUGCUUGCAGGGUGCUCGAGUGGCGAACGGGUGAGUAACACGUGGGUGAUCUGCCCCUUACUUUGGGAUAAGCCUGGGAAACUGGGUCUAAUACUGGAUAGGACCAUGCUGUAGGUGGUGUGGUGGAAAGAUUAGUUUCGGUAAGGGAUGAGCUCGCGGCCUAUCAGCUUGUUGGUGGGGUAAUGGCCUACCAAGGCGUCGACGGGUAGCCGGCCUGAGAGGGUGGACGGCCACAUUGGGACUGCGAUACGGCCCAGAAUCCUACGGGAGGCAGCAGUGGGGAAUAUUGCACAAUGGGCGCAAGCCUGAUGCAGCGACGCCGCGUGGGGGAUGACGGCCUUCGGGUUGUAAACUCCUUUCAGCCAUGACGAAGCCCUUGUGGUGACGGUAGUGGUAGAAGAAGCACCGGCUAACUACGUG